AUUGCGAUCUACUUUUUAAAGAAUGCUGCGCUAUUGAUAACGAAGUAGAGGUUCGAGCGAAAGUCGUAGUUCAGUUUUAGUUUCAGUUCAAGAUUUAUAAUAUAUCAAUUCCAUAUUAUUCUGACUUCUCUACAUUGAAAAAUAUUCAUUUGGUGAUUAAAAGAAAGGAAAAAUUGUGAAAAUGGUAAAACCUUUGGAAAAAGCUGGUUGCUUGGAACUUCGCACCGCUGGUUUUAUUAUUGGCUGGCUAGGAGUGAUUGGAAGCGUUUUGCUUUUUGCAUAGCGGCUGUUUAUGUGGCAGCAGAAAAUGGCGAAGUGGCAGGAUCAUAUGACCAUGCCGAAGUUGCUGUUUUCGUAUUCGGCGGUAUCCUCUUGGGUGCUAGCAUCUUGGGUGCUGUGAUAUCAGGCUUACUCAUAUCCGGAAUAAGGCAGAACCGACAUUCUAUGUUGCUGCCUUGGUUGGUGUUAAGUACUUUUAGCCUUGUACUCAGCUAUUUCAAACUGUUUGUUGCUGCAACUUUUUCACGCAACUUCCAAGUCAUCUUGUUCGAAUUAUUUUCUACCGGUCUGAAUAGCUACAUUUAUUAUGUAAUAUACUCACUAUACACACAUAUGAAAAUGGAUAGCGGAAAGGGUCGCGUAUUGACUCCGGCACCAGCAGCAGCAGUACUAUUGCAACCUGCAUAUUCUAACUAUGACAAAGUCUGAGUUCGGUAUAAUUCCGUCUUUGCUGUGCGUGUAUGGGAGCUACCCAAUAGCAAUUCACGUGACCAUAAAAGGAUGCCAAAUACCAGAAUAUAUACUAUUGAUGUUUAGUUACAGUUCCAAUAUCUAUAUUAUAAGACAAGUUGCCUUAACUUACGGCAAAUUCGCGUUUAUUCAACGCUUCUUAGCUUUUUUUAUAACUUAAAACCUGACGAAAACAAAUAAUAAAAAUACUCAAGAUGUUCCUUGCCAACAACUAUUUUGCCAAUAAAUAAUAUUAGUCAAUAAAUUUAAUUAUUUAAUUAACAAUUCCAUUUCGUAAGUGACAAAAAAAAACAACAACAAAAUUUUAACAUUGCCUUAUUUACUUAUAUACAUAUGUAUAGUACAUACAAUGUCACACAAUUGCUGUUGACCUGUGGGCUUAUCUUGUUCAUACUCCCAUGGCUGACAAUAUAUUUUAUUUAAUAAAAACGUUCGAAUAA